GUCAGAAGUCUGACACACGUCUCCCUGGGCUAAAAUCAUGGUCUCCCCAGGCUGCAUUUCUUUCUGGAGGUUCUAGAGAAGAAGAAGAUUCCUGUUCCUUUGGGUUGUUGAUAGAAUUCACUUCCUCGUGUCUGUGAGAAUGAAGUCCCCAUUUUCUUGCUGGUUGUAAACUGAAAACUGUUCCUAACUUCUGGAGGCCACCACAUUCCUUGGUUUGUGGCCCCUUCCCUCCAUCUUCAAAGACAGCAGCAGCAAGUUGAGUCCUCACAUUCACUCUCUCCAACCCUUCUAUCUCAUCUCUCUCUGACCACAGGAGGGAAAGAGUUUCCAGUUUAUUUAUUUAUUGCUGAGGAAAAUUCACCCUGAGCUAACAUCUGUUGCCAAUCUUCCUUUUCUUGCCUGAGAAAGACUUGCCCUGAGCUAACAUCUGUGCCAAUCUUCCUCUAUUUUGUAUGUGAGUCGCUGCCACAGCAUGACCGCUGACAAGUGGUGUAGGUCAGUGCCUGGGAACCAAACCUGGGCCGCCGAAGUGGAGCAUGUCAAACUUAACCAGUAGGCCAUGGGGCCCAAGAUUCAAUUUUAAGGACGCAUACAAAUUGAUUGAGUAUCCCCCGGUAAUCCAGGAUAAUCUCCCCAUCUCAAGGUCAGCAGCUUUAAUCACAUCUAUAAAGUCUGUUUUGCCAUGUAAGGUUCUGGGGAUCAGAAUGUGGACAUGUGUGGGCACGCAUCCCCCUGCCUACCAUGUACAUUAGAUGCAGUUUGUUCUAUAACUAAAAAAGGAAAUUAUUUAGAAUUGGCAGCCUGAAAACUCAAGGUAAAAAUGUUCUCCUAAAAUAAGUAAGUGUUCCAUCCUUUGCUUGAAUCUAUGAAAAGGGGGUAGCAGAGAUACAACCAGCUUUUGACAGUAUUCCUUCUCCUCUCCAAAUUUGGUUAUUUUCUUUUUGCUUUAAUCUUUAUUUAAUCUUUGAUUAAGAUUCUUCAGAAGAACAAAGACUGUACUUUUGUCUUUUUGUAAACAUUGACUGCAUCUACCCCCAAAGUGACAGCCGUCGCCAUAGGGCAGAUAAAAAUGGGGCAUUUUCUUCUUGCUAUUCUUAGAUACUGUCAUUUAAAUGGAAACCAAGUUAAAAUAGAGAUAGUGAAUAGUUUAAGAGGCAGAUGUUGCCUUUCUUUGCUAUCUUUUACCCCAAAACUUCAGCUGUGAUCCUAAGACUGACUGGCAAUAUUGUCUACUGUCUUUUAUCAUGCUCCAAAAAGCAGUUGAUUAUCUUGGAAGGGCUUCAAAAGCAAUUAAGAAAAUCCCUUAUGUCAAGUUACAUUUCAGACAGGACAAAUUAGAUGUAUGGGGAAAUGUCCUGAUAAAGUACUCAAGAAAUAAUGAAUCUGUGUACAAUUUGUAAUUGCUCCUGCAAAGAAUUUACAACAUAAAAGAGGUUGUUAACCUGAGACUGGAAGCUCAGAGACGUUUUUUCUUUUCAUUACAAAUGCAAAUGCCUUAUGAAACUGAGCCCAGAGCAUUUUUAAAUGUCCAAAAUGUAAUUCAAAACAUUGUUUAUUACAUUUCUGUCUGGGCUCUUCACUGCAUCACAAGCUGCUUUGUAAAUGCUGAUUUUUAAGCCAGCAGGUCUGCAAUGAAAAAAUGACCCAUUUGGCUCACUAAUGUGGAGCAGAUCCUAAAGGGUGGAUCUGUGCCAGAAGGAAGGGUAAGGGUUAUCACCGAUGCCGCAAACGGGUGGUGAUGGAUGGUGAUUGAAAAGACAUUUCGUUGUUAAAUGUCCAUGAGAUUGCUGCAUUUGGUGUCCACUUUAUACAUUAAAGAUGGACAGAUGGGAUCUUCAAUCUGCAUGACCCCAUCCUUGUGACAACAGAACAGCGCAGGCUCUGUGGAGUCCAUGGAUGGCUGAUAAUUAGUCUGUGGGGACAGGCGUUGGUGGGUUGAAUGUUGGAGGCUGGAGAGUCUCAGUCACGAAUAGGCAUCAUCUAGAUAGAAUACUGUUAUCACAAUGUUGGGAAAUUCAAAUGCAAUUUCCUUUCCUUAUGAACUCUAUUCCCCUUUGAGUAAAAUGAUCUCAACUCUUCCAAACUACUUGAAUUUUAUCCUCAAUUUCCUAACUUUUGAAGUAUGGGUGUGUCCACUGCUAAUUCUUCCCCCGUGAUAAACAUUAGCAAGGGGGAAAUUAUUCUAGGGUUAUCAUACAAUAUUUAUAGACCACUUUUUAUUUGGGAAGUGUUUGAAGGUGUCUUAAAUACGAGCUGUUUCCAAAUAACCUCAGGCUCAUUUUUCAUCUUGAUCCAAAUCCCAUGGAAGCAAACCAAUCAUGAAGCUCUCUCAAAAGUCAUUGGGAGCCCCGGGCUCAGAACCCAGCUGUGGAGCGUGAACUAUUAGGUUCUGUGCUGCUGGAAGCUUGCAGUAACUGACCCACUGGGACUGGCGCUCAUUUAAGAAUCAAAGUUGAUGCUUUGUUUCCAGAAGCCUUUGCCCGAGCUGGGGAAAGUAGACUAAAUCCCUCAUAGGAGUUCAAACUGUAUAGACCUUACUUUUUACACGAUUGCUUUUGAAAUGGUUCAACAAAGUGAUGUCUCUUCUGUUUAAAGAACAGGAAACAACAACAACAACAAAGCCAGUGAAAAACAAAUGUCAGGGUAUUCCUAUCCACAGGAUGACUCUGAUUUCCAAGUUUGUCUUCAUUAACGUUCUAGUCCACUUUCAUCGGUCCCCAUCCUCUCCUGGUGAGCUUUUUCCCACUCCCAUUCCCAAAUACCAUCACAGAGACAUACAUUGAAACCUCCCCGUUAUUUCUCUUACCUUGAUCUGCCUUGCUCUGACUUACAACUUGAUCGUAUUCCUUUCUCUCUCUCAUCAAAGUAUGUUUGUCCUGAUUCUCUCCAGAGUCAGCAUUUGACAUAGUAAUAAUAAUGUUACUAAGUACAUGUCUAGAUGCUCUACUUGUAUAAAUCCAUUUAUGCUCAAAACAACCCUCAGGUAGUUGCUAUUCUUGUGCUUGUUUACAGAUGGAGGAAUGGGAGGCACAGUGUUGAUAAGCGUGUUGUUUACGUCUCACAGCUGGCAAGUGGUGGAGUCAGGAUUCAGGCUCAGGUGAUCUGGCCCCAGAGCCCACACUAUUCACGUCUGCUUUUCUCAGGCUCUCAUAGAGGGGAGAACAGCAGUGUCAGGUCAGAUAGACAUGGGUUUGAAUGCAGAUCCUGACGUUUCACUGGCUGUUUGACCUUGGGCAAAUAGGUAACUUCUCUGAGCAUUAGUUUCCUCAACAGUGAAAUAGGGAUAUUUAUGUGAAGAAAACUGAGAUAACCCCCAUAAAAGUUCAUGACCCUAUAGAUGCUUGGGCAAGUUUAAAGUUUAGCUAACCCAUUCUCUCCCUCUGUUCUCUCCUCAACUACAUAAUUUAGCUGAUUUCUGUAUGCUGAUGGGGAAAGUGGUUUAAUAGGCUGCCUCUCUCUUGAGGUAGCUUCAGGCAUUGUGAUUUUUCAAAUUGGCAGACUUUUCAAUGCUUCAAUCCACCUAGGCGAGGACUCCAUCUUCUCUGAAGUUGUGCCAAGUCACAUGUGCUUGGGGGGACUUGUUUUUAAUCUAGAACUUUGAUAUUUCACUUUACACGUGCUCGUUGAUGUGAUCUUCAGGAAAUGUUUGGAAUGAAGAAAUGAAGGGGAGCAGCACCCACCUGCAUCUGGGUGGCCCAGUGUUUCGUUGGUUCGAAUCCUAGGCACAGACAUGGCACUGCUCAUCAAACCACGCUGAGGCAGCAUCCCACAUGCCACAACUAGAAGGACCCACAACGAAGAAUAUACAACUAUGUACUGGGGGCUUUGGGGAGAAAAAGGAGAAAUAAAAUCUUAAAAAAAAAAAGGUGUGCUUUGCAUACUGUUAUGUUACUUCUUUUUUCCACUGGACAGUGUUUUGUAGGUG
ensembl:lncRNA